GACAAGAACGAACAGUGAAUUGUGGGAAGAGCCACUGAAAACACACAGGAAUUUGUGUUCACGGCUGAAACACGGGUUCGAUUCCCGUAGGGGUCACCA
rnacentral:tRNA from 1 species